UUUCAUUUUCUUUUUACUUAUGAAGAACUGUAGACCUUGCUGAUUUAAAGCCUCAUUUUCCACUGAGAAGUGACUUUGCUGAUCAUGCCAUUCUGCAGAGGCAGGUUGGGAGCAGAGCCUGGACUCCACAGAGCCCAUUUUCCCUGGAUUUAUACUGGACACUGUGCUCUUUCCUCCUUCAAAAAUACUUCAGUCUCCACCCACUUCAGCUUCCUAGCAUCAUAUUUGUGUCCUUCCUGCUCUUUGACGUUUUCUUUUUAAUAAACAUCUCCUUGCCUUUGAAGUUCAUAUUUUAUGGCAAUGAUGCCCCCCACCCCGCUAUUGCAUUUCAUUUCUUGAAGAUGUAGACAGGUGCCCUGCUCAAUCUUCCUCUUGAACACAAUUCCUUCUAUUAUCUGGGAGAUUGCUCAGGGUGCAGAUUCUUGCCAAGCACCAUCCUUCCAGUUUUCCAACCCACUGCAAUUGGAGCCAAUCCUGGAUUCACUGCACCUCAACACCAGCCUCUGAGGGCUAGGGAUAGAACUCAGGGGCCAAGAGUUUGCCUGGUGUGUGGAAGGCCCUGGCUUGGGUCCCCAGAACCACAAGCAAACAGCAAUACCAAAAACUGUGGCCUCCACCUGUGCUCUGCAUCUCGCACUCACUCCUGCUACAGUGACCCCUCAACCAUACCAUACUCUGAGCCCCAUCUUUCUUCUUCUUCUGGACAUCAGCACCUUGUACUCUGUCUCCAAACCCUACUCUCUCUAGAAACCCUGCCCUGAAAACCCUCUACUCUAGAUCAGUUCAGAAAUACCUCAUCUUCUUUCCUGUAUCUCAGCUCCUUUGGGAAAAGCCCCCAUCUAUGCAGGUUAGUGUCUCAGCACAUUGAUGGUCCGCAGUGGCAGCUGAGCCCAUAAUUUCGUUGCAAUGUCUUUCUCCUGUCCUUGCUUGCAACCUGUGGCAGUGAGCAGAUCUUCACCAUGCUCCUCUCCUCCCCACUCAGCUGUUACCAGUACUAUACGCACGACCUAACCACCAAUGACAUCAAGGAGUAAAGGGAUGGGAUGUGAAUGGCUUCACCACCCACUGCCUUCCAUCUUCAAAUCUGUGUGCAAGGACAUCAGCCCCUCUGCCUGCCUAAGUGCUUCUCUGCUGAUGAGGGACAGCCUCAUUCAUGAUCUCUGCUAGUGAUCAUACCUCCACACCUCUCCUCCUUCCUAUUCAUGUUUUGCAACAGUUUCCCAUUCAUCCUGCCUCUUCCUCCUUACUGCAUCUGCAGGCUGGUUUGAAGUCAUGCCUAGAGGGACACAUGCCUGCUUCAGAAUCCCUCCAUGGUUACCACCCUCUGUUCCAUCUGUGAUUGCUUUAUCCCUGUCUUCACUUAGCACCUUGAGCUAGUUUGCAACUUUUCAAUGCUACACCAUUGCAUUUUUCUUGUAUUUCUUCAGGCCACAGUUUCUAAGAUCCAUACUUUCCUGUUAAGCACAGUGCCCUUGAGAACUAGAAUCUGUCAAAAUGCAGAAAUCUUGGAAAGUGACCUCACCAGGUGCAAACCUUUGAGCUCUACCCUCUUAAGUGGAAAGAAGGAUGAAAGAUGAGACACUGCAUUUAAAAAAGUAUCAUCCUCUCUUUUUAUCUAAACUUACAGAGGAAAGUCUACAUGCAUGAUCUACAUGUGUAUUUGAUUUAACUUAUCAUGGAUUGGGCUCAACAAAUGUGAAUGUCAUGUGCAGUUUGCUUAUUGGCAGGGACAGAAGCAUGGAGAGGAACAAUGGUAUGAAUCAAAGAAGAAAUAGGAAAUAUAAGGCUGGCCUCGAACUUUCGAUUCUCCUGCCUCUGUCUCCAAGGUACUUGGAAGUACAAGCUUGUUCGACCACACCUGGCAUACACCCUCCUUCCUGAGAAGCAACAUCAAACAGAAAUUUCUGAGAUCAAGAACAGGAAAUGAGUGAUUCAUCAGGCUGGAUUUCACCCAAAGAGCUGUCUCCACAGCUGUGGAGAAGGGUGCUGCAAAACCUUCCAGAGGACUCGCCCAGUACCAUUUCAAAGCAGCCAGGCUGGGAACUGUAGAGAACUCUGGAUCGUGAUGAAGGACAGUUGGAGAGCCCAUCUUGGACGACCCAGAAAUAUGUCAGCCUGAUGUGCUGCUCAACUGGAGCCUCUUCUAAAUGCCUGUGAAUCCACAUUUGGAGGUGGUCCAGGGUGACUCAGGACUGGAGAGACACAGCUUCUUCCACAGCAGGAGCAACAAGGUGUUUGUUCUGCUCUGAGUGACUGUAAGGAUGAUUUACUGUGGAAGCUGGCACCGCUAUGCUAUUUUCCUAAAUCUAAUAUAGUGCUGGUUAUCUGGUGAGGACCGCCCUCAGGGCAGGGGUAGGGGUGGGAGUUCAGCUAGUGCUGAUUCACUUGUGUUCUGUGUUGCUCUCCCUCCCUCUCCCUCCCUCCCUCCCUCCUUCUCUCCCUCCCUCCCUCCUUCUCUCCCUCCUUCCCUUCCCCAUCCCCUCUGCUUAAAGAGCAUUCAGCAAAAUCCCAAAGCUUGGCUGCUCUCAUCCAAUGUGCCCACCAGUUCUCAUGUGUACAGCUCUGCUGACUCUGAUGAGUGAGAUUUUGGAGGAAAUUGUCCAGGCAAGAAAGCUGGAGACCUGCCAUUGGAAGAGAGGCAUUGCCCUUGAGCUUGUCCUUUUGAGCAUGUGUGAUGGUCCAGGGGGUGAGAAACACUUCUACUUCCUGUCAGUGUUUCUAGGACUCAGUCCCCAGACCUGUCCCACACAGCCUUUUCCUGCCACCCCGACCUGCUCAUGGGUAGCAGGUCUCCUAUGUGGCUAGAUGCCUCUGACAGACCUUAAUGGUCUUCAUGUCUGUCUUCAUCCCUCUUCCCACCCUUAGUGUAAUCUCUCUAAACCAUUCUUUUUCCUCACAUCACUCCCUACUCAAAACUCUUCAGAUGUAUCUGUGGUAUCUUUGUAGCAUUGGAUGCAUUUUUUCUGGGUCUUACCCAUGUUUAUUAAACAUUUUGCAGCUGUACACACUUUUUCAAAACAAAAAGCUGGGAUAAGCUGGGUGUGGUGAUGCAGCUUUGUAAUCCUAGCACUUGGAGACUGAGGUAGGAGGAUCAUAAA